rnacentral:lncRNA from 1 species
UAAAAGUGAUCCUUCUUGCUCCAAGCUUGUGCAGGAUAUUUUUUGGUUAGAGCAUUUUGUUGCAUAUUGACCAUGUCCUUCAUCUUCUCUUAGCUUAUGUAUCAAUUCACACUAGUCGGUUCAGUUCCUGGUGUCUAUAUGAAGAGACUGGCUGCCAAAAUCUUUCAUCACUCUGCCUGCAACUACGAAAAAGUUAGUUCUAAAAAAUGCAAGCUUGCUGUAUCGACUACCAAUAGGAUUGGAUCAAUUCUGCUCUAUGUCUGUUCCAAAUUGUUGUGGUGUGCAUCUUUGCCAUGCAUGGUUUGUAGGAGUUAUUGCAUCUCUAACUUCCCACCAAUGUUUGAAAACAUAUUUAGAUUUAUAGAACUUUAUUGCUGCAGACAGAAAAAAGCAUGUAGUUCUAAACAAAAGGUCCAUGAAUUCCAGCAAUAUCACUGAAAAUCAAUGGCCUUUAAGAGUAUUUCCCAUUUCUUACUAUGGGUCAAAAUUUAAGAAUAACUCUGGCCAGGUGUGGUAGCUCACACCCUGUAAUCCCAGCACUUUGGGAGGCUGAGGCAGGCAGAUCACUUGAGCCCAGGAGUUCAAGACCAGCCUGGGAAACAUGGCAAAACCCCACCUCUACAAAAAAUACAAAAAUUAGUCUAUCACGGUGGUAUGCACCUGUAGUCCCAGUGACUUGUGAGACUGGGAUGGGAGGAUCUCUUGAGCCCAGAAGAUGGAGGCUGCAGUGAGCCAUGACCAUGCCACUGUACUCCAGAUGGGGUGACAGAGCAAGAUCCUGUCUCAAAAAAAAAAAAAAGAAAAGAAAAGAAAAGAAAUAACUCCUAUUGCUAAAGACAUAUAUGCUUAUCUGGUUGAGACAAAGUGAAUCUGUCCUUGCCAAUGACAUUUCAGGAUAUUCGUUCACAGGACAGAACAUAUCAGAGAUUGGUACUGGCUAGAAAUUUCUGUUGAGUAUUUAUUACCCCAUGGUAAUAAUUGUAAACCACAAUUUAUAAGGUUUUUUUGAAAGCCACAUCAUUUUCCAAAGAGAUAAUUGGAAGAUGGAAAUGGAGGGUCAAAGAAUGAAAUGCAGCUAAGAUUUCUAAUUUCUAAAAGUUGUACAGCAUGCCCUAUGGCUACUCUUUAAAUCUCCAAAUCAAAUGAGUGCCAGAGAGCUCCCUUGCCCCUUCCACUGUGUGAGGAUACAGUGAGAAGGCACUGUCUAUGAACCAGGAAGUGGGUCCCCACCAGACAUUGAAUCUGUCACACCUUAAUAUUGGACUUCCAGACUCCAAAAUUGUGGGCAAUAAAUGUCUGUUGUUUAUAACCUGCCCAGUAUCUUUAGUGUUUUGCUAUAGCAACCCAAAUGGUCUAAGAAAACAACAGAGUCUAUACCUAAUAAAAACAUCAUCUUCACAA